rnacentral:rRNA from 1 species
GACGAACGCUGGCGGCGUGCCUAAUACAUGCAAGUUGAGCGCUGAAGGUUGGUACUUGUACCAACUGGAUGAGCAGCGAACGGGUGAGUAACGCGUGGGGAAUCUGCCUUUGAGCGGGGGACAACAUUUGGAAACGAAUGCUAAUACCGCAUAAAAACUUUAAACACAAGUUUUAAGUUUGAAAGAUGCAAUUGCAUCACUCAAAGAUGAUCCCGCGUUGUAUUAGCUAGUUGGUGAGGUAAAGGCUCACCAAGGCGAUGAUACAUAGCCGACCUGAGAGGGUGAUCGGCCACAUUGGGACUGAGACACGGCCCAAACUCCUACGGGAGGCAGCAGUAGGGAAUCUUCGGCAAUGGACGAAAGUCUGACCGAGCAACGCCGCGUGAGUGAAGAAGGUUUUCGGAUCGUAAAACUCUGUUGGUAGAGAAGAACGUUGGUGUGAGUGGAAAGCUCAUCAAGUGACGGUAACUACCCAGAAAGGGACGGCUAACUACGUG